UCUCAUCCGCCCCCAACUCCAUGCUUUCUCUCUCCCAGGCGAUUUCCAGAUCUAGGGUUUCAAUAACCCUGAAUCGUUCAUUUUCUCUCAAUCCGACAGAAGAUCCAGUGGGGUUGACCUCAGCUAAAUGAAGUAUAUGACUGUAGCAAGCCCCAUUUAAACUUUUGCUUCAGAUUGUGACUUUGGGUUCAAAGUUGAUUUUGUUGGUUGCCCCUUUUCUUUAUGCUUAGGAAUCUUGAACCCUAACAACGAGUAUGCAUCCCUGAAUCCCAAAGAAGGUAGCUUUCACGGAUGGAAAUUGUAUGGUUUUGUGAAGCUCAGAUUUUUGCAGAUUCAACAAUACGGACGUGAGUUGUGAGGGGACGGGAGUUGUGAGAGGACGGGAUGACGGUAGUAGGCAUCACUCAGGAGCACAAUUCUGAAAGCAGAUGUCUAUUGUUAUGUUAAAGAGGCCAAGCAAAAUCUAUCAAGUUACUUCUGCACAUAAAGCGCAAUGAGGGAGACGCCAAGGUACAGUCAUUGGUUUUAAGUGAACAUGGCCUUUUGUUUCCAAGGCAAAUCAUUAGAACCAGCAGCCGUGAGCAAUAGCGCCACCACCUUCAAUAAACGAUAUUCGUUUGGAAUAACGGUUGUGAUUCCAUCAUAGCAACCCAGCACCCGAUAAAUGAUAUCAGUUUGUGUUGCUGAUGGAACCUUUGUCCUCUCUCCUGCUGAACCCAGAGAUUAUCACAAACCUAGGCAGCUCAAAACUUGGAAAUGGUGAUCAACCGGUGUUAAUUGAUUAUGAACGUCUCAAAGUAUAGAUACGAUGUUGUGGUUAUGUUUUAUGUUUCUGAAAUGGAGGGUGAAAGAUUAGGUUUAAAAAACUUAUCGAGUUUCCAUUGGCAAUCUCAUGUACUUAAUUUUCCUAUUAAUGAAAUUUGGUUUUUGCUGGUAAAAAAAAAAGCUAAUUUAGAUAAGUUAGCCAAAACACUAACCAUGAGUUUCCAUAGGCAGGUUCUAGACAAAAAAACUUGCAACGGUGUGUAAAGUUUUGCUUCUUUUUGCUUGAUGAACCGAAUUUAUUCAUGAAGUUUUUAAUAGGAAAGUAUC
rnacentral:lncRNA from 1 species